rnacentral:piRNA from 1 species
UGCAGAUCGAGGUAACAGCAGAGUAUCU